rnacentral:rRNA from 1 species
UGGGGAAUAUUGCACAAUGGACGGAAGUCUGAUGCAGCAACGCCGCGUGCGGGAUGACGGCCUUCGGGUUGUAAACCGCUUUUUCUCAUGACGAAGUUUUUUGACGGUAGUGGGGGAAGAAGCACCGGCUAACUACGUGCCAGCAGCCGCGGUGAUACGUAGGGUGCGAGCGUUGUCCGGAAUUAUUGGGCGUAAAGAGCUUGUAGGCGGUUUGUCGCGUCGAUAGUGCAAACUCAGUGCUUAACGCUGAGCCUGUUGUUGAUACGGGCAGACUCGAGGAAGGUAGGGGAGAAUGGAAUUCCCGGUGGAGCGGUGGAAUGCGCAGAUAUCGGGAGGAACACCGGUGGCGAAGGCGGUUCUCUGGGCCUUUCCUGACGCUGAGAAGCGAAAGCGUGGGGAGCGAACAGG